ACCCCUUACGGACCUCAGUAGUUGGUUUGCCCCGACGACGUCUGCAUUCUGGACAAGGCCGACGGUCUCGGAAUCGAACUUUCCCUUUUUGAUUGUCUGCCCAUUUCAUUCAUUCCACUAGCGUCCCUCACUUCGCUUGAUCUGUCUAGUGUUCAUGAUAGUAUGGUGGAUCUUUAGCACCAGAGAUCGUUGGUGUGUGCCCCUUCCAAAUGAAAAGUGGAAAUUUGAUGAGUUGGUUGAGGAUAAGGGUGUGAAGAUAUUGAUUGAUCCAAAGGCUCUCAUGCAUGUUAUUAGGACUAAAAUGAAUUUUGCAUGACAAACUAAGAUCUGAGUUCAUUUUUAUAAAUCAAAACUCUAAAGAUCAGUGUGGUUGUGGUGAAUCUUUUAUGACAACAGCCAGUUCUGCAGCUGCUAAGCCACGAAAUCGUUGAAAGUGCUGUGUAAUGUCAAGGUUGAUCCACACUUAUAAAGCCACUCUUUCAUGGCAAGUUUGUUGAACAUGAAGCUAAUUGCGUUUUUUUUUCCUACAAAGAAAAAAAGGCUAAUUGCUUUAUGUAAUUUUGUCAGAGAAUAAAGGAAACUGAAGGCUUUUGCACGUGAGAGUAGGAUGCUGACAUGGCUUCAUUGUUUCAGUAUACAGAGUCCAUGAACAUUAUGCUUUUGAAUGUGAUUUUAAAGAUCAGCCUGGAAAUUGCAACAAUGAAGCUAAUCAAGCAUCCAAAUGUUGUUCGAUUAUAUGAGCUUAUGAAUAAUAUUAAAAAACCUUUUCAUUCUUGGGCCUCCUCAAAUCAAUAGAAGUUCAAGGAGUGCCUGCAGUUUCAUGUUCAAAGAAUUGCCAAUCCUUUUCUGGAGCAAGAAAGAUAUAUGGAGUUGAUGGAUGUUCAUGAUGAUGAUGAGCAACCUAAGAAUAACAAGCCGGAAUUGAUUAACAAUGCUCAUGUAACUAUAGACUCAAAUCAACAAAAAGAGAAAGAUCAAGAGAAAGACAAAGGUGAUCAAAAAAUUCAAAAGUUACAGGUAAAAGAAAACUAACUAGACUUGAAUCUUAGGUAUGGAGUCAUUUUACUUUGAUGGAGGGUUGUGAUCCUGAAUUUUCAAGGACAACAUGUAACUGGUGUGGCUUUGAUUAUGCUUGUCAUAAAAAAAGAAAUGGCACUUCUAACAUGGCAACACAUUUAGAAGAAAGAUGCAAGAAAUUUAGUGUUAGAGAUACAUAUCCUAAACAACCUAAACUUUCCUUCCAACCGAAAAAAAAAGGAGAAGGAGAAGGUUGUGGAACUAGUUUUAAGGGGAUGACAUUUGAUCUUAAUUCUUGUAAGCAAGCUCUUGCUAGAAUGAU